AAUAGAUACCCGGGUAGUCCACGCCGUAAACGAUGAUCACUCGCUGUUGGCGAUACACAGUCAGCGGCUAAGCAAAAGCAUUAAGUGAUCCACCUGGGGAGUACGGCCGCAAGGCUGAAACUCAAAGGAAUUGACGGGGGCCCGCACAAGCGGAGGAACAUGUGGUUUAAUUCGAUGAUACGCGGGGAACCUUACCUGGGCUUAAAUGUAUAGUGCAUUCUGCCGAAAAGCAGAUUUCCUUCGGGACUCUAUGCAAGGUGCUGCAUGGUUGUCGUCAGCUCGUGCCGUGAGGUGUCGGGUUAAGUCCCAUAACGAGCGCAACCCUUAUCGUUAGUUGCCGGCGGGUAAUGCCGGGAACUCUAGCGAAACUGCCGGUGUAAACCGAGAGGAAGGUGGGGAUGACGUCAAAUCAGCGCGGCCCUUAUGUCCAGGGCUACACACGUGUUACAAUGGCCGGUACAGAGGGCAGCUACCUGAUGACAGGAUGCGAAUCUCGAAAGCCGGUCUCAGUUCGGAUCGGAGUCUGCUAACG
rnacentral:rRNA from 1 species